rnacentral:rRNA from 1 species
UGCAACCUGAGCUCAAUCGNGACUACCCCCUGAACUUAA